CAGAGUUGCGAGACUCCAUAAACCAUUGCGAACCCACCACUGAACAGUUGCUUCGGCGGGUGGCUGGCAGGGCCCCCCUAGCUGGGGCCGGCCGCCGCGAAACCCGCCGGAGGCACCCAAAAACUCUUGUUUGUUACAGGCCUCUCUGAGUUAUAGCACUUGAAUAAAGUCA
rnacentral:misc_RNA from 1 species